GCUCUGCGGCUGAACUCCAACCUUCUCCCCACCCUCGCUCUCGGCCCGCCUUCCUCCGUGACCCCCGUCCCUCCACGUCUGCCACUACCCCCCCCCCCAGCCCCACCCGUCACUAGGCCGGCUGAGAGGCCGCUCCAGGCUCCUCAGCUCGCUCCGUGGCGGGGGCGGGAACUAAGCGGCCCCCGGUGAAGGCCGCCGCCGCCGCCGCCCGAGCUAGCCCCCGGUGAAGGCCGCCACCGCUGCCACUGCCGCUCGCCGUCUCCUUCCCCCGCCCCCAGGCCGGGAGCGGCGUGGAGAGGGCGGGCGGCUCACCCGCGUGUAGCCACCGCGGACUCCGGCGGGACGCUAAGACGACUUAUCGGCAACCUCCUCCUCCGGAAAACAAAAUGACGAACGAAGAACCCCUCCCCAAAAAGGUUCGACUCAGUGAAACAGACUUCAAAGUUAUGGCAAGAGAUGAAUUGAUCCUAAGGUGGAAGCAGUAUGAAGCAUAUGUACAAGCUUUGGAGGGCAAGUACACAGACUUAAACUCUAAUGAUGUAACUGGUUUGAGAGAGUCUGAAGAAAAGCUAAAGCAGCAACAACAAGAGUCUGCAAGAAGAGAAAAUAUUCUUGUGAUGAGACUGGCAACCAAGGAACAAGAGAUGCAAGAGUGUACUACUCAAAUCCAGUACCUCAAACAAGUUCAGCAGCCUAGUGUUGCCCAACUGAGAUCAACGAUGGUGGACCCAGCAAUCAACUUGUUUUUCCUAAAAAUGAAAGGUGAACUGGAACAGACUAAAGACAAACUGGAACAAGCCCAAAAUGAACUGAGUGCCUGGAAAUUUACGCCUGAUAGGUAAACAAAACAUACUCCCCAGUCAAGACUUCCCUGACAGUCCCACUACGAGAAUGCUAUGGUGGGACAGCCAAGUACUCGUUUCCACACCAAGACUCAGACGUUUUGAGCCAAAAAAGCCACAUUCUUAUACUGUCCAGCUUGUAAUGCUUAAUGUAAAACUUACCAGAUGAACCUUGUGUUUCAGCUUUUUCUCUCCUCCCCCCCCUUGCUUCAGAGGCCUGACAGCGUCGGACUAUUCCGAAGAAGUGGCCAACUUCGAAAAAAUUCCCUUUCUAGAACAUGUAGACACUUGACAAGUGUUUCUGUUUGAAGAAAAUAGAGGGAGAAACAGAAGUCUUAAGUCUGUGGCACACUGUGUCUACAGACAGUUUGGAGGAAAGAAAACCUAGAGAUUUUAAAUCAUGAAUUGAACAUGUAAAAUUCCAGUAAAAUGUAAAAAUGGAAUAUGCUUCGCUCUUAACCUUGAGCCUAGUGACUUAGAGACACUAGAAGUCAGUUUUGCCAAUAAGACUGUGGACUUCCUGCUUAUUCUUUGAACUUCUGGGUCAAAACUCAAAUGAGCCAAACAGGCAAAAAGUUAAUGGCGAAGUGUCGAAUGCUUAUUCAGGAGAAUCAAGAGCUUGGAAGGCAACUGUCACAGGGACGUAUUGCACAACUUGAAGCAGAGUUGGCUUUACAGAAGAAAUAUAGUGAAGAACUUAAGAGCAGUCAGGAUGAACUCAAUGACUUCAUUAUUCAGCUUGAUGAAGAAGUAGAGGGUAUGCAGAGUACCAUUCUAGUUCUUCAGCAGCAACUAAAGGAGACUCGUCAGCAGUUGGCUCAAUACCAGCAGCAGUCCCAGGCCUCAGUCCCAGGUACCAGCAGGACUCCAUCUUCUGAGCCUUUAGACCAGGGAGAGGUCGUGGGUAAAGACUGCAGCCGUCUGGCUAAUGGACCAAGUAACGGCAGCUCCUCCCAUCAGAGGACGUCUGGGUCUGGAUUUUUUAGGGAGGGUAACACAACAGAAGAUGACUUUCCUACAUCUCCAGGGAAUGGUAAUAAGGUCUCCAACAACUCUGAAGAGAGAACUGGCAGAGGAGGUAGUAGUUACAUAAACCAACUCAGUACGGGGUAUGAAAGUGUAGACUCUCCCACGGGCAGUGAAAACUCUCUCACACACCACUCAAAUGACACAGACUCCAAUCAUGAUCCUCAAGAGGAGAAAGCAGUGACUGGGAAAGGUAACCGAACUGUGGGUUCCCGCCAUGUUCAGAAUGGUUUGGACUCAAGUGUAAAUGUACAGGGCUCAGUUUUGUAACAUUUUUCCAGCAACAUUUUUAUACAGUGUCAUUUAAUUUGGGAGAGGAUACUGUCCAGAAACAAUUUUAAUUAGUGCAUAUUUUUUGUCACAAUUUGCCUUUUGUGCAGUGUGGGGGUUUUGUUUUUUUGUUUUUUGUUUUUUUUUUUUUUUUUUUGGUUUUGUUUUUUUUUUCCCCUUGCUUCAAUACCUCUGCCACUUUGGAAAUUGUAACAGUUAAUUACGUUGAACGUUGCUAAAAGGACGUUUGUGUAGGCUCAAGUUAUUUUUAUAUGAGUUAAUGUGAAGUUGAAAAUGGGAAAUAAUUUCCACAAAGUAUAACACGAUGAUGUCUGUACAAAUUCAUGUAUAUCUAGAACCCGUGCUGUGUAAGGGCAUUCUUACUCAUACUGUUCUUAUCCUUAUGCAACAUUCAGACUUGUCAUAGUAGUUGUGGGUUUAUGACUGCCAAGUUUGCCCAGUACAGUAGUUUUAUCACUAAAAGUUGGAUUGUUGAUGGAGUCCCGUAGUAGUUUCCGUGUUAAUUACAGUUUUUUCCACCAUACAUCUGUGCAUUUUCUCUUUAGGUGACUGAAUGUUUAAGAAUUUUGUGUGCAUAGUUACUCAGUUUUUAUGAACUGUUGUAUCCUGUUAAUGCAGAUUGCUCUGUGACUCCACUAUAUCUUACCUGUACUGACCAAACCUAAAUAAAGAUUUUUAAUAAUGUAA